rnacentral:snRNA from 1 species
GUGCUGGCUUUGGCAACACAUAUACUAAAAUUGGAAGGAUACAGAGAAAAUUAGCAUGGCCUCUGUGCAAGGAUGACAAGUAAAUUCAUGAAGUAUUUUUUU